GACGAACGCUGGCGGCAUGCCUAAUACAUGCAAGUCGAGCGGGGUGUUUUUGAAAGCUUGCUUUCAAAAACACUUAGCGGCGGACGGGUGAGUAACACGUAGGCAACCUGCCUUAUAGUCUGGGAUAACUUCCGGAAACGGAUGCUAAUACCGGAUACAUCAACGUUUGGCAUCGGAGGAUGAGGAAAGACGGCGACAGCUGCCCCUAUAAGAUGGGCCUGCGGCGCAUUAGCUAGUUGGAGGGGUAAUGGCUCACCAAGGCGACGAUGCGUAGCCGACCUGAGAGGGUGAACGGCCACACUGGGACUGAGACACGGCCCAGACUCCUACGGGAGGCAGCAGUAGGGAAUCUUCCACAAUGGGCGAAAGCCUGAUGGAGCAAUGCCGCGUGAGUGAUGAAGGUUUUCGGAUCGUAAAGCUCUGUUGCCAGGGAAGAACGUCCGGGUGAGUAACUGCACCCGGAGUGACGGUACCUGAGAAGAAAGCCCCGGCUAACUACGUGCCAGCCGCCGCGGUAACAC
rnacentral:rRNA from 1 species